GCCUCUAUAGCACAGUAGCCAGUGCGCCUGACUUGUAAUCAGGAGGUCCCGGGUGCAAGUCCCGGUAGAGGCU
rnacentral:tRNA from 1 species